UAGUAAUACAAAGAAUAGUGCAGCUUAGAGAACAUCUCCAUCAACCUUAUAUGGGUGACACCGUGACAUACACCAAGUAUAAGUUAAGUGAUGGCCUGGUAACUAUAAGCAUUACCUUCCAAUUUGCAAGAGUGAGUUAAGUGAUGGUAAGUAUACAACUUGAGGCGCUAUAUCAAAGCGUCGCCUAACUUAGCUCCUACAAGGAAAGACGUGCAUAAAAAAGCCGUAAUGAAGUAUUUUUAACCUCCUCUAUUUCUCUGAAAGCCUAAAUCACUACUCCAACCUCCCAGUCUCCGACGCACGUUCCAGUUCCGAUCUCUGAACAACUUCUGAUUCCAGCCCCUAAUUCUUCCGAUUGUCGACUUCAAUACUCUUUCACUUUGAAUUUUGGUUAUAAUUUCGUUGGUAAUUUUAUAGUCCGUGGAGUAAAAUUGCAAUUUUAAUACAGUUUCCAAUUUGAUUUGAUCUCGAAUUUCGCAGGUGGUUCUUCUUAUUAUCGACUUCUAUGUGGUACCCUUACACUAAGAAUUUCGGUUAUAAUUUCGCUAGUAAUUUCUAUGGUUUAUAGAGUAUCAAUUUUAAUUUUAAUUACAAUUUCCAAUUUGAAUUGAUCUUGAAUUUCGCUGGUAACUUCACUUCAAAUUUAUGUGGUAGUUUAUUGUUUCUCCAAUUUCUCUUUUGAUCUAAAUUUUGCAUUUUCAGCGACGAAUAUUCGGUGCCUGGUAAUUUUUUUUGUAGAGCUUCAUACUGACCUUAUACACAAGAUAACAGCUGUAUUUUCUAAAAUCUUCAACAACAAUACAAAUUAUGAGAUGGUUGUGGUGGAAAAUAUGAGGCUGCUUUCAAACACUUCAUAUUAAUUUUCAAAUGUUCUCAAGUUGAAAAAUGCAGUAGAUUGAAGACAGGAUGAAACUCAUUCCAUGAAACUCAUUCGAAUUUUUAAUUCAACUCAAUUGUUCAUUCCACUAACACUCUAGCAGACAGGAUCAAUCCAACUAAUUGCAAAAAUCCAAACCUAACUUGCUUGUUUAUCAUUAAAACAUUAAUUACAAUAUCAAACAAGAACAGGCUUAGCCAAACUUCAAAUUAAACAAAAUAGACAAUCUAAAACCCAAAUUUAUCCAAGAAAAACAAAAACAAUUGAAUUCAAAUAUGAAAUUGAAUAGAACAAAUAUUUCAAGAUAAAAAAAUCACCUGAAAAGAAUAUUGAUUCGUUCAGAGGCGCUACGGCAGUUUUAGCGACGCCGCCGACAACUCCACCAGCGAGAAGCUAAAAGGAAUAUCACUGACGCUGCUCCUGACAUUUCAGCUUCGAACGACAAAACUCAGCAGAAACCCUAAUUAUUGAAAAUUAGGGGAAGAUUUAGAUCAGCGAAGAAGAAGGAGAUGAGAUCUGGGGGAAAUUGUUGAAAUGCGUGAGUGCAAGGGUAUGGCGGUGAUCGAGAAUUUUUUAUGGAUGAGUGAAAGAGCAGAGGCAAAGGACAUAAUAGAGAAGAAGGGAGAUGGCUAGCUUAAGAAACAUGAAAAGUGAUCCACAACUUCAGAAGAAGAGAGAAAAGAAAAGGACGAAAAGUAAAGAAAAAAAUGAAAAAGUGUUGCACUCGGAGUUUUGAAAGAUGAAAAAAUGCUUAUGAAUAUUAUGUGGAUGCCCAUUAUACCCUUAAUAUAUUUCCGGAAUAUUCUAGAUCUUAGGGUUUAUUGUUUCCUAAGCAAACCCUAUUAUAUUGUAUGUAUAUAUACCGCAUUGUUCAUGGAAUAAGAAACACAGUUAUUCUCUCCCAAUUUCUCCUCCCUUAUCUCUGUAUUUCACAACACGUUAUCAGCACCAAAGCUCUACCAACGAGUUCAUCUAACCGAUA